GGAGAAGAAGGAAGCAGAAUGGGAAGAUGGAGGAAGAGAAAGCACGGCUCCGAAUGAUUUUCUCUUUCUCUGACUGCUAAAUCAGAAAUCCAGAUAUGGACAAAGUCCCUUGUGUGCCUGAGUGAAGUGGCACUGAGAUGUCUCAAAAAGCUAAAAAGGGAUAUCAGUGAGCCAUGAUAUCAUAAUGCCAAAGCUCACUGAUGACUCAUGGAGUGUUGCCAUCCUGGUGGGGUGAGUAAGAGCUUGGAAAGCAAUUUCAAAAGCCCCAGUGUUCAGCUCUAACUCCAUCCAGGGACACCUCAAUCUUCUUCCCUAAUGACUUGGUUAGCAUUCCUUAAUUGAAGAAAGUCUACUCUCCUGUGCCUGGCUGCCCCUUCACCAAGAUCCCUUCUGGUCCAGGCUCCCCUUCCAUGGCCACGGUCCUCUAGAUGGCCUCCAUGCCAUGAUGCAAGCCAGCAAAUAGUGGGAACCAGAAGGCUUCUGGCAGGGGUGGGAGUCCAGUAGCUGUUCUGUCUUCAGCUAUAACCCAAAAAGCCAGAGGGGCUGAGAGACUUGGCUUUACUCACUCAGGUCUGUCACAUGGGGCAGACUUUUCAGACAAAAAACAUGAUGCAAACACAGAGCAGCGACUGUACUAGUUCUGGACGCACAGUAACAGGAUGGGACACGGCGGGCAGUGAGGGGGCAGGGUGAGAGCACUUAUCACAACAGGACAGGAUGGGACACCACAUGUUGGGGCAGUGAAUGGCUUUGGAAGCCUCUUCGAGGCAGAAGGGUGGGGGUGGACAGGAGAGAGGCCUAACUUUCCUCCCUCCCUCACUGUUAUGUAUGCAGAAAGGAGGAUCUGGAGGCUGAGGUGGAGCAGGAAUCAGGAAACUCAGGCCCUCUGCCUAGAUGAGCACAGGGUGUAAAGAUAAGAAGUUUGCUGAAUUGUCCUUAAGUGGAUGCCUCUUAGGGACAGGAGGAAAAGAGACAGGAAGAGGAAGUCUUUCUCCCUGAUGUCCCAAAUCUAUACACAACCCAACUAGAGAACUUGGCUUUGGCCACCAAUUCAACUUUGGGCCACCUCAACAUCAGGCCUUUUCCAGGGAGGCCGUGCACCCAGCUCAACAACCAAGGACGAUGGCCAUGCAUCCAAAGUCAGUAACCCCUACUUGAGUGGGUAUUCCAACAUAGCCAAAUCUCAGUGUCCCAAGUGAACAUUGAGAAGUGACAGCAGAGAAAAUAUAUUAUCAUCUAGAGUCAUCUCUAAUUGAA